UGAGGAAUCUUGCGCAAUGGGCGAAAGCCUGACGCAGCAACGCCACGUGGGGGAUGACGGCCUUCGGGUUGUAAACCUCUUUCGGUCUUGACGAAGGCAUCCUUGCUAGGGGUGUUGACGGUAGGGACAGAAGAAGCACCGGCUAACUACGUGCCAGCAGCCGCGGUAAUACGUAGGGUGCGAGCGUUGUCCGGAGUUACUGGGCGUAAAGAGCUCGUAGGCGGUUUGUCGCGUCGGCCGUGAAAUCCUGCUGCUUAACGGCGGGCUUGCGGUCGAUACGGGCAGACUAGAGUUCGGUAGGGGAGACCGGAAUUCCUGGUGUAGCGGUGAAAUGCGCAGAUAUCAGGAGGAACACCGGUGGCGAAGGCGGGUCUCUGGGCCGAUACUGACGCUGAGGAGCGAAAGCGUGGGGAGCGAACAGG
rnacentral:rRNA from 1 species